rnacentral:rRNA from 1 species
AGACAGAGGGUGCAAACGUUGUUCGGAAUUACUGGGCGUAAAGCGUGUGUAGGCGGUCUUGUAAGUCGGAUGUGAAAGCCCCGGGCUCAACCCGGGAAGUGCACUCGAUACUGCGAGACUUGAGUAUCGGAGAGGUUGGUGGAAUUCUCGGUGUAGAGGUGAAAUUCGUAGAUAUCGAGAGGAACACCGGUGGCGAAAGCGGCCAACUGGACGAAUACUGACGCUGAGACACGAAAGCGUGGGGAGC